AAAGUGUGCAUUUACAUUUGUGAUCAUUUUUCAGUUUUCUGUCACCUCCUACAUCUGUAGUGCCAGCUUUCUGGCAAGGAGAAGGCUUAGACGUCCAAAUCUCUUCAGCAAGAAAUAGGAUGUGCACUGCAACUACAGCUCUCUACAAAAGGUCGCAUUUUAUGGAAAAGUUUCUUCACUCUGAAUCUAACAGGAUACCUGUGUAGGAGGUGUUGGGAAGCUUGAAAAUGUUUCCAUAGAUACAAAACAGAGCCCUAACAGAGCUUUCAGCCAGGCCAUG